CGCGUAGGUGGUUCUGUAUGUCUACCGUGAAAGCGUACGGCUCAACCGUAUUUUGUCGGUAGAAACUGCAGGACUUGAGGCUGGGAGGGGGCUGGUGGAAUUCCCUGUGUAGCGGUGAAAUGCGUAGAGAUGGGGGAGGAACACUCGUGGCGAAGGCGGCCAGCUAGACCAGUUCUGACACUGAGGCGCGACAGCGUGGGAGCAAACA
rnacentral:rRNA from 1 species